AGCGAACGCUGGCGGCAGGCCUAACACAUGCAAGUCGAACGAAGUCUUCGGACUUAGUGGCGGACGGGUGAGUAACACGUGGGAACGUGCCCUUUGGUACGGAAUAACUCAGGGAAACUUGAGCUAAUACCGUAUGUGCCCUUCGGGGGAAAGAUUUAUCGCCAUUGGAGCGGCCCGCGUCUGAUCAGCUAGUUGGUGAGGUAAAGGCUCACCAAGGCGACGAUCAGUAGCUGGUCUGAGAGGAUGAUCAGCCACAUUGGGACUGAGACACGGCCCAAACUCCUACGGGAGGCAGCAGUGGGGAAUCUUGCGCAAUGGGCGAAAGCCUGACGCAGCCAUGCCGCGUGAAUGAUGAAGGUCUUAGGAUUGUAAAAUUCUUUCACCGGGGACGAUAAUGACGGUACCCGGAGAAGAAGCCCCGGCUAACUUCGUGCCAGCAGCCGCAGUAAUAC
rnacentral:rRNA from 1 species